ACAUGCCUACAAUAUAGCGUUAAUGCACUGGAUCCCAAUAGAACUCUAUAAUUAAGCACGCUCAGGCUAGAGUAGUACUGAGAUGGGUGACCACCCGAGAAGUCCUAGUGUUUUACAUGCC
rnacentral:rRNA from 1 species